AUACUUACCUUGACGGGGUCAAUGGGCGAUCAUGAAGGCCCAUGGCCUAGGUUGGCCACCUCCAUUGCACUUUGGAGGGGUGCUUGCCUAAGGUCGACCCAAGUGGUCGAGCCUACGUCAUAAUUUGUGGCAGCGGGGGCCUGCGUUUGUGUGGCCCCUAC
rfam:Capsicum annuum cultivar Zunla-1 chromosome 5, whole genome shotgun sequence